UUUUCUUAGAAGUAUCAUUGGUAUGGCACCGUAGGCGAUGAUUUUCUUCGACUCCGACAUAGACUUUGGAGACGAGGAGGAGGAAGAUGAAGACAACAAAGAAGCUACGGCAAUGGAGGAGGGCUCAAUCGCGAAACUGGAAAACUUCAAAGCCAAGGUCAAUUCCCUAACUUUCCUUUUCACUUUUCCUUUUCUCUUUCCCUUUCCAUUUCCCUUCGAAGAGUAGACCAAAACUGCUGAUUAUGCAGUUUUAUAAACACAGUCUUAACCCUUUUCUUGCAAGAUCUGUUCGAAGGAGCUGAGAGUCGAAUUGUUUGGUGGGCUCUUCGCACAUGAGCUCCUUGAUUUUUAUUAUUUUUUUCAUAAAAAUGUAAUUUUUGCUGGUUAAUUACUAAAUUCGGAAUAUGAUGGAGUUUUUUUUUUUUUUUUUUUUUUGUUUGGGUUAUGAUGGAGUUUUUUUUUUUUUGGUUAGUCUGUUUGGGUCCGCCUUCCUUAUUAUAUGUUGAUAAAUGAAUGUGUAAAGUAAGAUAACUAUGGAAUUUAAGUUUUAAUUUUAAAGCAUAGUUUAUUUUUG
rnacentral:lncRNA from 1 species